UUUUUAGGCAACUAAGGCGAACUGCUCAGUAACACGUAGCUAACCUACCCUUAAGUCAAGGAUAACCUCGGGAAACUGAGGAUAAUACUUGAUAGAAAAUAAUUUCUGGAAUGAUUUAUUUUUGAAAUCUUCAAAAUUUAUUUUGAAUGAAUCAGAGAUUUUUAAUCUCUGAGCUCGAGCUUAAGGAGGGGGCUGCGGCUGAUUAGGUUGUUGUUGGUGUAAUGGACUAACAAGCCGAUGAUCAGUAAGGGCUCUUAGCGGAGAGGCCCUGAGAAGGAAUCUGAGACACUAUUCCUAGCUCUACGGGGUGCAGCAGUUAAGGAAAUUUUACAAUGCGCGAAAGCGUGAUAAAAUAAACCAGAGUGCUUCUCUUAGAGAAGCUUUUGUCUGUUGUAAAAAGACAGACGAAUAAGGACUGGGCAAGACCGGUGCCAGCCGCCGCGGUAAUACCGGCGGUCCGAGUCGCAUCCACAUUUAUUGGGUCUAAAACAUUCGUAGCUUGUUUUGUAAGUCUCUUGUGAAAUCUCAUGUCUCAAGCAUGAGGCGGGCAAGAGAUACUACAUUACUAGAGACCGGAAGACGUAAGGAGUACAAUUGAGGUAGCGGUAAAAUGUGUUAAUCUUAAUUGGACUAACAAUAGCGAAGGCACCUUACGAGUACGGAUCUGACAGUGAGGGAUGAAGGCUAGGGUCGCGAAAGGGAUUAGAUACCCCUGUAGUCCUAGCAGUAAACACUGCUCACUAAACAUUAGUACCUCCUCGAGAGGUAUUAGUGCUGUAGAGAAGUCGAAGAGUGAGCUACCUGGGAAGUAUAGUCGCAAGGCUGAAACUUAAAGGAAUUGGCGGGGAGGCACUACAAUCGGUGACGCGUGCGGUUUAAUCAGACUAUACACCGUGAACCUUACCAGGAGCGACAGCAGAAUGAAGGUCAGUCUAAAGGGCUUACCUGACACGCUGAGAGGAGUUGCAUGGCCGACAUAAGCCUGUGUCGUGAGAUGAGUUGUUAAAUCAAUUAACAGGCGAGACCCCUGUGUUUAAUUUCUACGAAUAGAGCACAUUAAACAGACUGCCUUGGUAACAAGGAGGAAGGUGGGGGCGAUGUUAGGUGUGUACAGCCCGAAUCCCCUGGGCAACACGCGCGCGGCAAUGUCACAUUCAAUGAGAUGCGACUCUGAAAAGAGAAGCUAAUCUCCUAAAGUGUGGCCUAGUUCAGAUUGAGGUUUGUAAUCCAACCUCAUGACGAUGGAAUCGAUAGUAAUCGGAUGUUAUCAGCGUCCGGUGAAUACGUCACGGCCUCUUGCACACACUGCCCGUCAAACCAACCGAGUUAUGCUUUGGCGAGGUCCUUCGGGGACGAACCUCGGUAUGACAAGGUAGGUU
rnacentral:rRNA from 1 species